CUAAUAAAAUUACGCAUCUAUGAUGCGAAAAAGUAAAGUUGACACGAAUUCGAACAAAUUUGCUAGCUUUUUUAGUUUUUGCUUGACACUUGGAACACAUACGAAAAGCUCAGUGGUUUGAAAAUACCGGAAGCACAAUUCUUGCAUGUUAGUCUCAGUUCAAUACAAAUCGAUGCUUUAAUCAAUGAUCAACGAUUUCACGGUUUUGAGUGCUUAAAAUCAAAGGUAAUCCGGUGUGUCUGAAAAGGAAAGUUUGUAUCAAAGAGGGAACCUCUAAUUCAAUUACAUAAUGAACAAAAUAAAGAGAUAUAAUCAUUUUACUCACGUAAUUAAUUUUAAUUUUUGAUGUAAGAAAUUUAUCAUAAAUUUUUUUAGGUUAGAAUAAAUGACAAAUUACUGACAAACCUUUGAUUAAAAUUUAUGAAAUAUAUUAAAUAUAUUAAAAAACAGUCGUAACGAGUAUUAUUCUUCAAUUGCCACUUCUAUUGGCAAAAUAUAAUGCCUGUAGUUCGUAUAAUAUCCAUUAGAGAAAGAUUGGGAACGAUAAAAAAAAUGAUUCUAUGAUCGAAUCGAUUUCAAUCGAAUCAAUUUCUUUUCCUUGGUCUUAUUGAUAGCAACACUAUCGUUCUUUCAGCCUGCCUUCCUUUUCAUGUUUCUAAUCCGUAAACCUAGCUUCUCUUCCUACGUUGAUGGGGUUAUUUUCAUCGUCGACACACAAAGAGAGUGAGCGUGGAUUUUAGUAGGCCAUUGGGAAACGGAUGCGCAGGGCGCAGCCUUUGCCGAUAUGCUAACUCGCACAUUUAUGCUCGUUAAAUCAGCCUGACUUAUUUCCCGGACCACUUCCCAUUUCACCCGUUUGUGGCUUGCAUAGCAAGAACAUUUAUUAUGGAUAUAAAAAAUAUAAAAAAAUUAUAAAAUGGAAAUUUUCUUAUUUCUAUUUUGUCCAAGAAACAAGUUGGAUGAAGAUCGUUGUCUUGAGAUCAUUGAACUUUUAGUUUUGUAUAAAAGUUAGAAGUUUAGAUGGAAAAGAAUCGUCUUUUGGUGAGGAAUGGACAAAGGUAACGAUGGGAAAGAAAUGUCCAAAUAAAUGGUAGGCUGUCGAUUCCAACAACGGAUUACCAAUAGAUGAAUUCGACAAAUUUCUUGUCAAUGUCAUGCGCAGCAAAAUUUAUCUUUAUCGAACAAUUCAUCUUCUGUUCAUAAAAAAGACAUUGUUCUAUUGAUGCAAUUCGAAGUGAAAACUCUUUCGACGAAGGUUGAUUGUGACCGUGAAUACUUCGUGUCUGGAAUUAUCAAAGAGAUGAGUAAAGAGGAAAUGAACAAAGAAUAAAAGGAAUUAACGAAUUACGUGUUAUAUUGUGACAAUAUAAUUCAAUGGAAAAUCAAACCGAAUUUGGCCAGAUAACGUCAAUGAAAGUGAAGGAAAAAAAUGGGCCAUGACAUGAAUUUUCAGUCGCGAAUGCAACUGAUGUUUCACAGAGGAUGUGAAACUACGUCGACAUAAAAGCACGACAAGGCCGUUGAUUUUCAAGCCUACAAACAUUCGCUGUGAUGUAGAAAGUUUUUAUUAUUUGAUAUAUUAAAGAUACCAUAAGAUAUAAAUUGCAAAAAAAGUAAAUAAAAUAAUACAUUAGAUUUUAAUUUUUGUUUAAAAGAUUAAUUA